ACUCCUACGGGAGGCAGCAGUGGGGAAUAUUGCACAAUGGGGGAAACCCUGAUGCAGCCAUGCCGCGUGUGUGAAGAAGGCCUUGGGUUGUAAAGCACUUUCAGUAGGGAGGAAGGUAGUGUAGUUAACACCUGCAUUAUUUGACGUUACCUACAGAAGAAGCACCGGCUAACUCCGUGCCAGCAGCCGCGGUAAUACGGAGGGUGCGAGCGUUAAUCGGAAUUACUGGGCGUAAAGCGCAUGCAGGCGGCCUGUUAAGUCAGAUGUGAAAGCCCGGGGUCUUAACCUCGGAAUUGCAUUUGAAACUGGCAGGCUAGAGUCUUGUAGAGGGGUUAGAAUUUCAGGUGUAGCGGUGAAAUGCGUAGAGAUCUGAAGGAAUACCAGUGGCGAAGGCGGCCCCUGGACAAAGACUGACGCUCAGAUGCGAAAGCGUGGGAGCAAACAGGAUUAGAUACCCCGUGGUAGCGACUGA
rnacentral:rRNA from 1 species